rnacentral:rRNA from 1 species
UACAGAGGUCUCAAGCGUUGUUCGGAUUCAUUGGGCGUAAAGGGUGCGUAGGCGGCGCGGUAAGUCGGGUGUGAAAUCUCGGAGCUUAACUCCGAAACUGCAUUCGAUACUGCCGUGCUUGAGGACUGGAGAGGAGACUGGAAUUUACGGUGUAGCGGUGAAAUGCGUAGAUAUCAGGAGGAACACCUGCGGUGUAGACGGCUUUCUGGACCAUUGUUGACGCUGAGACACGAAGGCGUGGGUAGCAAACAGG